AGAGUUUGAUCAUGGCUCAGGAUGAACGCUAGCGGCAGGCCUAAUACAUGCAAGUCGGACGGGAUUGGAGAGCUUGCUUUCCAUGAGAGUGGCGCACGGGUGCGUAACACGUAUGUAACCUACCUUUGUCAGGGGGAUAGCCUCUCGAAAGAGAGAUUAAGCCCGCAUAACAUUACACCACGGCAUCGUGGAAUAAUCAA
rnacentral:rRNA from 1 species